AUCAAUGCAUAUUUAAAUGAAUUCCUUAUUUUCCUUUGAAUGAAUGAUCCAGAGUUAUGCAAAUAAUUAGCAGUUGGGGGGAACCCUGUGUCAACAGCGGGCCAUCUGGCAGUGUGAAGUCAUAGCAGGUUGCUUCGCUUCGCUGCCACCACUCUGGGCCUGGGGCUUUCUUGUGGCUGUGGCCUUGGGUAUAGAGACCUCCCCCUUCUCUGGAGUUCUCUGCCUUGUGUUCUGUUGCCAUGGCAACAACCCACUUUUCAUUCUGGACUUCCUGCAUAGGAGAAGGGAAUCUUUUACUACCAGGGCAUAAACGAGGAGGGGUUAUUCGAGAAACUGGGAUGCAAACUCGAAGAGAGCAGGGACCUUGCAUCCUCAGAAUUUGGAGCAGUACCUGUUACAGAGCAGAAGUUCAACCACGAUCUGUGGAAUAAAUGAGUACGUGGACGCCCGAAGGGUGGUAUUACACCAUCCCGUCAUGCUGUGCCCUCUCCCUGAAUCGACAGCCAGAUGGGCUCCAUAUUACCUGUGUUGGAAGGAAGAUGAACCACAGAUACUCUUCUGAACAGUAAACUGAUCCCCGAGAGCAAUCAGGUUCAGCAGAUUCCAUCCCAGCUGAGAGGAGAAGUCAGGGUACAUGAUUAUCUAUCUAUAACGAGCAGGCAUUACUUCUGUAAUCCACAAAAAGACUUUCAACAGAAAUGGAAUUACAGUACAGAUUUUUAAAAUAUGAAAAUGCCACCCAAUGAGUUAUUUUUAUAAAUGACUGGAAUAAAGAAAACUAUUUAAUAAUGUAGACAAAGUGUCAUAUGCCUAAGAAAUCUUUGUCUGAUAUAAAAGGUGAGUUAAAGAUGGACUGGAAUGUUUCUUAGUAACCAGGUAAAUAUUAUACCCAAAAUUAAACAACUACUCUCCCUUUGUAUAUCACUCAGCCCAAAGACAAAAGAGGAAAUGUUUCCACCACAACGGUCAUCAGAUACACUUAGCUGUGUGAAAAGAAACAUAAGACCCCACAUCAUUUAACUUGUAAAAUCUCAGUCAAUACUUGACAACAAAUGGGGUUUCUGGAACAGGGCACACCAGAGUGAUGUGUGGAUAGAGGUCUGCAAUCAUC